UACGGGGGGGGCAAGCGUUGUUCGGAUUCACUGGGCGUAAAGGGUGCGUAGGUGGCCAGGUAAGUUUGGUGUGAAAGCUCGGAGCUUAACUCCGAAAUGUCAUUGAAUACUAUCUGGCUGGAGGGUCGGAGGGGAGACUGGAAUUCUCGGUGUAGCAGUGAAAUGCGUAGAUAUCGAGAGGAACACCAGUGGCGAAGGCGAGUCUCUGGACGACUCCUGACACUGAGGCACGAAAGCCGGGGGAGCAAACAGG
rnacentral:rRNA from 1 species